rnacentral:misc_RNA from 1 species
CCUAGAGUUGUAGGCUUUGCCUGCUAUCUCUUACCCAUGUCUUUUGAGUACCUUCGUUUCCUCGGCGGGUCCGCCCGCCGAUUGGACAAUUUAAACCAUUUGCAGUUGCAAUCAGCGUCUGAAAAAAAUUAAUAGUUA